AAGGGAACAUAAAAUUCAAACUAACAG
rnacentral:piRNA from 1 species